GCUGGCGGCACGCUUAACACAUGCAAGUCGAACGAGAUCUUCGGAUCUAGUGGCAGACGGGUGAGUAACGCGUGGGAACCUGCCCAGUAGUAGAGAAUAACUUGGGGAAACUUAAGCUAAUACUUUAUACGUCCUUCGGGAGAAAGCUUUAUGCGCUAUUGGAUGGGCCCGCGUUAGAUUAGUUUGUUGGUGAGGUAAUGGCUCACCAAGACGACGAUCUAUAGCUGGUCUGAGAGGAUGAUCAGCCACACUGGGACUGAGACACGGCCCAGACUCCUACGGGAGGCAGCAGUGGGGAAUAUUGGACAAUGGGGGCAACCCUGAUCCAGCGAUGCCGCGUGAGUGAUGAAGGCCUUAGGGUUGUAAAACUCUUUCGUCAGGGAAGAUAAUGACGGUACCUGAAGAAGAAGAUCCGGCUAACUCCGUGCCAGCAGCCGCGGUAAUACGGAGGGGUCUAGCGUUAUUCGGAAUUACUGGGCGUAAAGCGAGCGUAGGCGGAUUUGUAAGUUGGAGGUGAAAUCCCAGAGCUUAACUCUGGAACUGCCUUCAAAACUACAUUUCUAGAGUUUGGUAGAGGAGAGUGGAAUUCCUAGUGUAGAGGUGAAAUUCGUAGAUAUUAGGAGGAACACCAGUGGCGAAGGCGACUCUCUGGGCCAAUACUGACGCUGAGGUUCGAAAGCAUGGGUAGCGAACAGGAUUAGAUACCCUGGUAGUCCAUGCAGUAAACGAUGAGUGCUAGAUGUUGGGAGUUUAAACUUCCAGUAUCGCAGUUAACGCGUUAAGCACUCCGCCUGGGAAGUAC
rnacentral:rRNA from 1 species